rnacentral:rRNA from 1 species
UAGUAGCCUGCGAAAGCUGCGGGGAGCUGGCAAACAAGCUUUGAUCCGCAGAUGUCCGAAUGGGGAAACCCGGCCCGUAUGGGUCAUCUGUUACUGAAUACAUAGGUAACAGAAGCGAACGCAGUGAACUGAAACAUCUAAGUAGCUGCAGGAACAGAAAUCAACCGAGAUUCCCAAAGUAGUGGCGAGCGAAAUGGGAUCAGCCUUGUACUCUUUAGCAGUAUUGUUAGCAGAACGGAAUGGAAAGUCCGGCCAUAGUGGGUGAUAGCCCCGUAUGCGAAAACAGUAUUGUGGAACUAGGUGUACGACAAGUAGGGCGGGACACGUGAAAUCCUGUCUGAAGAUGGGGGGACCAUCCUCCAAGGCUAAAUACUCGUGAUCGACCGAUAGUGAACCAGUACCGUGAGGGAAAGGCGAAAAGAACCCCGGGAGGGGAGUGAAAUAGAUCCUGAAACCGCAUGCAUACAAACAGUCGGAGCCUGGAAACGGGUGACGGCGUACCUUUUGUAUAAUGGGUCAGCGACUUACAUUCAGUGGCAAGCUUAACCGAUUAGGGAAGGCGUAGCGAAAGCGAGUCCGAAUAGGGCGUUCAGUCGCUGGGUGUAGACCCGAAACCAAGUGAUCUAUCCAUGGCCAGGUUGAAGGUGCGGUAACACGUACUGGAGGACCGAACCCACUAACGUUGAAAAGUUAGGGGAUGAGCUGUGGAUAGGGGUGAAAGGCUAAACAAACUUGGAAAUAGCUGGUUCUCUCCGAAAACUAUUUAGGUAGUGCCUCGUGUCUCACCUUCGGGGGUAGAGCACUGUCAUGGUUGGGGGGUCUAUUGCUGAUUACCCCGCCAUAGCAAACUCCGAAUACCGAAGAGUGCAAUCACGGGAGACAGACAUCGGGUGCUAACGUCCGGUGUCAAGAGGGAAACAACCCAGACCGCCAGCUAAGGUCCCUAAAUAUGGCUAAGUGGGAAACGAAGUGGGAAGGCUAAAACAGUCAGGAGGUUGGCUUAGAAGCAGCCACCCUUUAAAGAAAGCGUAAUAGCUCACUGAUCGAGUCGUCCUGCGCGGAAGAUGUAACGGGGCUAAGCCAUAUACCGAAGCUGCGGAUGCACGUAAGUGCAUGGUAGGAGAGCGUUCUGUAAGCCUGUGAAGGUGUCUUGUAAAGGAUGCUGGAGGUAUCAGAAGUGCGAAUGCUGACAUGAGUAGCGAUAAAGGGGGUGAAAGGCCCCCUCGCCGUAAGCCCAAGGUUUCCUACGCAACGUUCAUCGGCGUAGGGUGAGUCGGCCCCUAAGGCGAGGCAGAGAUGCGUAGCUGAUGGGAAGCAGGUUAAUAUUCCUGCACCGUCGUAUGAUGCGAUGGGGGGACGGAUCGCGGAAGGUUGUCCGGGUGUUGGAUGUCCCGGUCCCUGCAUUGGAGAUGGCACUUAGGCAAAUCCGGGUGCGUGAUUCAAGGGUGUGGGGCGAGCGACUUUAGGUCGCGAAGCAAUUGGAAGUGGUUCCAAGAAAAGCCUCUAAGCUUCAGUCAUACGAGACCGUACCGCAAACCGACACAGGUGGGCGAGAUGAGUAUUCUAAGGCGCUUGAGAGAACUCGGGAGAAGGAACUCGGCAAAUUGGUACCGUAACUUCGGGAUAAGGUACGCCCUUGUAGUUUGACUGGCUCGCGCCAGAAGGAUGAAGGGGUUGCAAUAAAAUGGUGGCUGCGACUGUUUAAUAAAAACACAGCACUCUGCAAACACGAAAGUGGACGUAUAGGGUGUGACGCCUGCCCGGUGCCGGAAGAUUAAAUGAUGGGGUGCAAGCUCUUGAUUGAAGUCCCGGUAAACGGCGGCCCGUAACUAUAACGGUCCUAAGGUAGCGAAAUUCCUUGUCGGGUAAGUUCCGAC